AGCAGCCGCGGUAAUUCCAGCUCCAAUAGCGUAUAUUAAAGUUGUUGCAGUUAAAAAGCUCGUAGUUGAAUUUCGGGAUCAAUAUGUCGGUCGUGCUUCGGUACGUACUGGCGUUAUUGGUUUCUCCCUUCUGAAGAACCGCGAUGUCAUUAAUUUGGUGUCGUGGGGAAUCAGGACUGUUACUUUGAAAAAUUAGGGUGUUUAAAGCAGGCUCGCGCUUGAAUACAUUAGCAUGGAAUAAUGAAAUAGGACGUUUGAUUCUAUUUUGUUGGUUUCUAGGAUCGACGUAAUGAUUAAUAGGGAUAGUUGGGGGCAUUAGUAUUCAAUUGUCAGAGGUGAAAUUCUUGGAUUUA
rnacentral:rRNA from 1 species